GGAGGUAGUGACAAUAAAUCACAAUGCGGGACUAUUUAGUUUUGCAAUUGAAUUGAGAACAAUGUACAAGAGUUAUCGAUAAACAAUUGGAGGGCAAGUCUGGUGCCAGCAGCCGCGGUAAUUCCAGCUCCAAUAGCGUAUAUUAACGUUGUUGCAGUUAAAAAGCUCGUAGUUGAAGUGUGGGAUAAUGUAUAUUGGAUCUUUUAGUGAAGAUAUAUGUUGUCCCCACUCCAAUUUCGGUCUGUGGGUAUUAAUUUACUUGCAGUUCGUGUUGGUCAUUUACUGUGAGAAAAUUAGAGUGUUCAAAGCAGGCAUUUGCUUGAAUAUAUUAGCAUGGAAUAAUAUUAAAAGGCUUGUAUGGUCGAUUUAAUUGGUUUGUUCAUAUAAGCAAGAUUAAUAGGGACAGUUGGGGGUAUUCAUAUUCAAUAGUUAGAGGUGAAAUUCUCGGAUUUAUGGAAGAUGAACAAGUGCGAAAGCA
rnacentral:rRNA from 1 species